UACGAAGGGUGCAAACGUUGCUCGGAAUCAUUGGGCGUAAAGCGCAUGUAGGCGGAUCCAUAAGUCGGGCGUGAAAUCCCCAGGCUCAACCUGGGAACUGCGCUCGAAACUGUGGGUCUUGAGUGUCGGAGAGGAUGGCGGAAUUCCUGGUGUAGAGGUGAAAUUCGUAGAUAUCAGGAGGAACACCGGUGGCGAAGGCGGCCAUCUGGACGACAACUGACGCUGAGAGUGCGAAAGCGUGGGGAGCAAACAGG
rnacentral:rRNA from 1 species